rnacentral:piRNA from 1 species
UGGAUAUGCCUAAGAUCAUGUUUGGAGCU